rnacentral:rRNA from 1 species
CGCUAGCUACAGGCUUAACACAUGCAAGUCGAGGGGCAGCAUGGUCUUAGCUUGCUAAGGCCGAUGGCGACCGGCGCACGGGUGGGUAACACGUAUCCAACCUGCCGUCUACUCUUGGACAGCCUUCUGAAAGGAAGAUUAAUACAAGAUGGCAUCAUGAGUCCGCAUGUUCACAUGAUUAAAGGUAUUCCGGUAGACGAUGGGGAUGCGUUCCAUUAGAUAGUAGGCGGGGUAACGGCCCACUUAGUCUUCGAUGGAUAGGGGUUCUGAGAGGAAGGUCCCCCACAUUGGAACUGAGACACGGUCCAAACUCCUACGGGAGGCAGCAGUGAGGAAUAUUGGUCAAUGGGCGAGAGCCUGAACCAGCCAAGUAGCGUGAAGGAUGACUGCCCUAUGGGUUGUAAACUUCUUUUAUAAAGGAAUAAAGUCGGGUAUGGAUACCCGUUUGCAUGUACUUUAUGAAUAAGGAUCGGCUAACUCCGUGCCAGCAGCCGCGGUAAUACGGAGGAUCCGAGCGUUAUCCGGAUUUAUUGGGUUUAAAGGGAGCGUAGAUGGAUGUUUAAGUCAGUUGUGAAAGUUUGCGGCUCAACCGUAAAAUUGCAGUUGAUACUGGAUAUCUUGAGUGCAGUUGAGGCAGGCGGAAUUCGUGGUGUAGCGGUGAAAUGCUUAGAUAUCACGAAGAACUCCGAUUGCGAAGGCAGCCUGCUAAGCUGCAACUGACAUUGAGGCUCGAAAGUGUGGGUAUCAAACAGGAUUAGAUACCCUGGUAGUCCACACGGUAAACGAUGAAUACUCGCUGUUUGCGAUAUACAGCAAGCGGCCAAGCGAAAGCGUUAAGUAUUCCACCUGGGGAGUACGCCGGCAACGGUGAAACUCAAAGGAAUUGACGGGGGCCCGCACAAGCGGAGGAACAUGUGGUUUAAUUCGAUGAUACGCGAGGAACCUUACCCGGGCUUAAAUUGCAGAUGAAUUACGGUGAAAGCCGUAAGCCGCAAGGCAUCUGUGAAGGUGCUGCAUGGUUGUCGUCAGCUCGUGCCGUGAGGUGUCGGCUUAAGUGCCAUAACGAGCGCAACCCUUGUUGUCAGUUACUAACAGGUUCUGCUGAGGACUCUGACAAGACUGCCAUCGUAAGAUGUGAGGAAGGUGGGGAUGACGUCAAAUCAGCACGGCCCUUACGUCCGGGGCUACACACGUGUUACAAUGGGGGGUACAGAGGGCCGCUACCACGCGAGUGGAUGCCAAUCCCCAAAACCUCUCUCAGUUCGGACUGGAGUCUGCAACCCGACUCCACGAAGCUGGAUUCGCUAGUAAUCGCGCAUCAGCCACGGCGCGGUGAAUACGUUCCCGGGCCUUGUACACACCGCCCGUCAAGCCAUGGGAGCCGGGGGUACCUGAAGUGCGUAACCGCGAGGAGCGCCCUAGGGUAAAACUGGUGACUGGGGC